rnacentral:tRNA from 1 species
GGGCGAUUAGCUCAGUUGGGAGAGCGCUGCGUUCGCAACGCAGAGGUCGUGAGUUCGAAUCUCAUAUCGUCCACCA